CCUACGGGGGGCAGCAGUGGGGAAUAUUGGAUAAUGGGGGGAACCCUGAUCCAGCCAUGCCGCGUGUGUGAAGAAGGCCCUCGGGUUGUAAAGCACUUUCAGUGAGGAAGAACGCCUGGUGGUUAAUACCCAUCAGGAAAGACAUCACUCACAGAAGAAGCACCGGCUAACUCCGUGCCAGCAGCCGCGGUAAUACGGAGGGUGCGAGCGUUAAUCGGAAUUACUGGGCGUAAAGCGCGCGUAGGUGGCUUGAUAAGCCGGUUGUGAAAGCCCCGGGCUCAACCUGGGAACGGCAUCCGGAACUGUCAAGCUAGAGUGCAGGAGAGGAAGGUAGAAUUCCCGGUGUAGCGGUGAAAUGCGUAGAGAUCGGGAGGAAUACCAGUGGCGAAGGCGGCCUUCUGGACUGACACUGACACUGAGGUGCGAAAGCGUGGGUAGCAAACAGGAUUAGAUACCCCGGUAGUC
rnacentral:rRNA from 1 species